rnacentral:rRNA from 1 species
GAUGAACGCUGGCGGCGUGCCUAAUACAUGCAAGUCGAGCGAACAGACGAGGAGCUUGCUCCUCUGACGUUAGCGGCGGACGGGUGAGUAACACGUGGAUAACCUACCUAUAAGACUGGGAUAACUUCGGGAAACCGGAGCUAAUACCGGAUAAUAUAUUGAACCGCAUGGUUCAAUAGUGAAAGACGGUUUUGCUGUCACUUAUAGAUGGAUCCGCGCCGCAUUAGCUAGUUGGUAAGGUAACGGCUUACCAAGGCAACGAUGCGUAGCCGACCUGAGAGGGUGAUCGCCCACACUGGAACUGAGACACGGUCCAGACUCCGCCGGGAGGCAGCAGUAGGGAAUCUUCCGCAAUGGGCGAAAGCCUGACGGAGCAACGCCGCGUGAGUGAUGAAGGUCUUCGGAUCGUAAAACUCUGUUAUUAGGGAAGAACAAAUGUGUAAGUAACUAUGCACGUCUUGACGGUACCUAAUCAGAAAGCCACGGCUAACUACGUG